UAACCUGCCUUGGAGUGGGGAAUAACAGUUGGAAACAACUGCUAAUACCGCAUGAUGCAGUUGGGUCGCAUGGCUCUGACUGCCAAAGAUUUAUCGCUCUGAGAUGGACUCGCGUCUGAUUAGCUAGUUGGUGAGGUAACGGCUCACCAAGGCGACGAUCAGUAGCCGGACUGAGAGGUUGGCUGGCCACAUUGGGACUGAGACACGGCCCAGACUCCUACGGAAGGCAGCAG
rnacentral:rRNA from 1 species